rnacentral:rRNA from 1 species
GCCUUCGGGUUGUAAACCUCUUUUAGUAGGGAAGAAGCGAAAGUGACGGUACCUGCAGAAAAAGCACCGGCUAACUACGUGCCAGCAGCCGCGGUAAUACGUAGGGUGCGAGCGUUGUCCGGAAUUAUUGGGCGUAAAGAGCUCGUAGGCGGUCUGUCACGUCUGCUGUGAAAACCCGAGGCUCAACCUCGGGCCUGCAGUGGGUACGGGCAGACUAGAGUGCGGUAGGGGAGAACGGAAUUCCUGGUGUAGCGGUGGAAUGCGCAGAUAUCAGGAGGAACACCGAUGGCGAAGGCAGUUCUCUGGGCCGUAACUGACGCUGAGGAGCGAAAGCGUGGGGAGCGAACAGGAUUAGAUACCCUGGUAGUCC